UACGUAGGGCGCAAGCGUUGUCCGGAAUUAUUGGGCGUAAAGAGCUCGUAGGCGGCCAGUUGCGUCUGCUGUGAAAUCCCGGGGCUCAACCCCGGGCGUGCAGUGGAUACGGGCUGGCUAGAGGCAGGCAGGGGAGAACGGAAUUCCCGGUGUAGCGGUGAAAUGCGCAGAUAUCGGGAGGAACACCAAUAGCGAAGGCAGCUCGCUGGGACGUUACUGACGCUGAGGCGCGAAAGCGUGGGGAGCGAACAGG
rnacentral:rRNA from 1 species